rnacentral:rRNA from 1 species
AACGAACGCUGGCGGCGUGCCUAACACAUGCAAGUCGAGCGCGAAUGGAGCAAUCCUAGUAGAGCGGCGCACGGGUGCGUAACACGUGGGUAAUAUGCCCAAGAGAUCGGGAUAACCUGCCGAAAGGCAAGCUAAUACCGGAUAAGCCUACGGGAUCUUCGGAUCCUGAAGGAAAAGGUGGCCUCUGUAUACAAGCUAUCACUCUUGGAUGAGCCCGCGGCCCAUCCAGCUAGUUGGCGGGGUAAUGGCCCACCGAGGCAACGACGGGGUAGCUGGUCUGAGAGGACGAUCAGCCACACUGGAACUGAGACACGGUCCAGACUCCUACGGGAGGCAGCAGUGGGGAAUUUUUGCGCAAUGGG